UCAGUUUCUUUUCACGAUCAAUUCUCAUCAAAGUGCCCGAUGGCACGGCUUCCCUACUUCAGUUUUCCCCUAGAGGAUUCCCCAUCGUUGUAUACUUCUUCUCCAAUCUACAUGGCAUACCUCUCCUUGUUGUAACAAUUAGUGCGUCGAGCCCACCCUCCCGUAACCCCGCCCACGUGUGGCGUCUUCGACUGGCGCCGGCCCACCUCGCCGACGAGCCAGCCGUGAGAUAUCCUGGUCUCCAGCUACCUCAGGCCCUCCUCGCCACCGUCCAGGAAGCGCCGCAUAGAUUCCACACCCACGGGAGCCAAUAGUCCCAUGGCAAGGAGGAUAGUCUAGGACUGAAUCUGAUUCUAUCAGAAGUAUCAUCCCUCUCUUUGGACUAUUAUGAUGCCCUGUAAGUACUCAUCUCAUCUAAUCUGUUUGCAGGUUCCUGCGUUUGACUGAUGAGCUCGCGAACUGAACAGGGGAUAACAAGAAUGAGAUCAACCAACUGAUCCCAAGAGCGAGGGAGCGAGAUUAAAGACGUUUUAGGCUUUGUGGCCCGUUGCCUGACUACGGUUCGUAUGCCGAUUACUUUUGACUUACACCCUGUACGUACUACCCCUUCUUGAUGAAUGAAAAGCCAAUCUUGAAUUUUCGUCACAAAAAUGCCAAUUCAUAAUAGAAGGAUCAAACAUAUGCUUCUGCCCAGAAUUUGAAAUCAUUGGCUCAGUGAACUGCAGCCCUUUCAAUAACUAUUUAUGAUUGUAUCAUACCUAUUAUCAUUUUCU
rnacentral:lncRNA from 1 species